UCCUGACACAGGGAGGUAGUGACAAGAAAUAACAAUACAGGGCUAUUUUAGUCUUGUAAUUGGAAUGAGUACAAUUUACAUCUCUUCACGAGGAUCAAUUGGAGGGCAAGUCUGGUGCCAGCAGCCGCGGUAAUUCCAGCUCCAAUAGCGUAUAUUAAAGUUGUUGCAGUUAAAACGCUCGUAGUCGGAUUUCGGGGCGAACCCGCCGGUCUGCCGUUGGGUAUGCACUGGUGGGCGCGUCCUUCCUUCCGGAGACCGUUCCUACUCUUAGCUGAGCGGGGACGGGAGACGGAUCGUUUACUUUGAAAAAAUCAGAGUGUUUCAAGCAGGCAUUUGCUCUUGCAUGGAUUAGCAUGGGAUAAUGAAAUAGGACUUUGGUGCUAUUUUGUUGGUUUCGAACACCGAAGUAAUGAUUAACAGGGACA
rnacentral:rRNA from 1 species